rnacentral:rRNA from 1 species
UCUACGGAGAGUUUGAUCCUGGCUCAGGACGAACGCUGGCGGCGUGCUUAAUACAUGCAAGUCGAGCGACGAAACCGGAGUGGGUAACCACUCCGGCUGAAAGCGGCGAACGGGUGAGUAACACGUGGGUAACGUGCCCCGGACAUUGGGAUAACAACGGGAAACCGUUGCUAAUACCGAAUGACCCCUGUAUUCCGCAUGGAAAGCAGGGCAAAGCUCCGGCGGUCUGGGAUCGGCCCGCGGUGUAUCAGCUUGUUGGUGGGGUAAAGGCCUACCAAGGCUGUGACGCAUAGCUGGCGUGAGAGCGUGGCCAGCCACACUGGGACUGAGACACGGCCCAGACUCCUACGGGAGGCAGCAGUAGGGAAUCUUGCGCAAUGAGCGAAAGCUUGACGCAGCGACGCCGCGUGAGGGAUGAAGGCUUUCGAGUUGUAAACCUCUUUCAGCAGGGACGAAGCCGAAAGGUGACGGUACCUGCAGAAGAAGCCCCGGCCAACUACGUGCCAGCAGCCGCGGUAAUACGUAGGGGGCGAGCGUUGUCCGGAUUUAUUGGGCGUAAAGAGCGCGUAGGCGGCUAUCCACGUCGGAUGUGAAAGCUCAGAGCUCAACUCUGAGAGGCCAUUCGAUACGGGAUAGCUAGAGGCAGCUAGGGGAGAGUGGAAUUCCUGGUGUAGCGGUGAAAUGCGCAGAUAUCAGGAGGAACACCGGUGGCGAAGGCGGCUCUCUGGGGCUGUCCUGACGCUGAGGCGCGAAAGCUGGGGGAGCGAACAGGAUUAGAUACCCUGGUAGUCCCAGCCGUAAACGUUGAGUGCUAGGUGUGGGGAGGUCUUCAACCCUCUCUGUGCCGCAGCUAACGCAUUAAGCACUCCGCCUGGGGAGUACGGCCGCAAGGC